ACGUAGGUGGCAAGCGUUAUCCGGAAUUACUGGGCGUAAAGCGCACGCAGGCGGUCUUGUAAGUUUGACGUGAAAGCUCCCGGCUUAACUGGGAGAGGUCGUUGAAUACUGCGAGACUUGAGUUUAGGAGAGGGGUGUAGAAUUCCCGGUGUAGUGGUGGAAUGCGUAGAUAUCGGGGGGAAUACCAGUGGCGAAAGCGGCACCCUAGCCUUUGACUGACGCUCAUGUGCGAAAGCGUGGGGAGCGAACGGGAUUAGAUACCCCGGUAGUCCACGCCGUAAACGAUGAACACUAGGUGUAGGUGAUGUGAAAGUUAUCUGUGCCGAAGCCAACGCGUUAAGUGUUCCGCCUGGGGAGUACGGCCGCAAGGCUA
rnacentral:rRNA from 1 species